GUGCUCACUAGGGCAGCUCACAGAGCAAAACUGGGACAAUACAGAAAUGGUUAGCAUUGCUUCUGAGUAAAGGUGACACGUGUAUUCAUAAGACACUCCGAGUUUAA
ensembl:snRNA U6 U6 spliceosomal RNA